GUCCGGUAGUGGGGGAUAGCCCGGCGAAGGGCGGAUUAAUACCGCAUACGCUCUACGGAGGAAAGGGGGGGAGCUUCGGACCUCCCGCUACCGGGGCGGCCUAUGGCGGAUUAGCUAGUUGGUGGGGGAAGGGCUGACCCAGGCGACGAUCUGUACCUGGUCUGAGAGGAAGACCAACCACACUGGGACUGAGACACAGACCAGACUCCUACGGGAGGCAGCAGUGGGGAAUUUUGGACAAUGGGCGAGAGCCUGAUCCAGCCAUGCCGCGUGUGUGAAUAAGGACUUCGGGUUGUAAAGCACUUUUGUUCGGAAGGAAGGCCUCCGCCCUAAUAUGGUGGGGGGAUGACGGUACCGGCACAAUAAGCACCGGCUAACUAUGUGCCAGCAGCCGCGGUAAUACAUAGGGUGCGAGCGUUAAUCGGAAUUACUGGGCGUAAAGCGUGCGCACGCGGUCCGCUUAUACAGAUGUGAAAUCCCCGGGCUUAACCUGGGAACUGCAUUUGUGACUGGCGGGCUAGAGUAUGGCAGAUGGAGGUGGAAUUCCAUGUGUAUCUGUGAAAUGCGUACAUAUA
rnacentral:rRNA from 1 species